AGCCAGAAAAUGAACAAUGCACCAAACGUGGGAAACCAGCCCGGUUUGGCCACAAUAGCUCUGUGCCUUCGAUACUGUCAUUCUGGUAUGGGAAUGUUGAAGUAAAUGAACCAAACAGCCCCCACAUCUACAGGUACUUGGAAAAUAUCUAAUAGUUUCCAUUUUUCUCCUUCCAACAGUGAACACCCACCUGUUUUUUCCAGAGCAGCACAACUGGUCUAUGUGGAACACACUGGGAAGCCAAGGGGGCGACUGCCUGUGCUGUUUAUUUUUAUGGCUGUUGACAGCACUGAAAAACUUCUCUCAGCACACCCAGAUUGCAGCAUUGAUGGCAGAGAUUGGGAUGGAUGAACAAGGAUUAGCCCUCACAAUGGUACAAGUAUGAGUGAAAACACUGAGGAUGAAGAUGACACUGGGUCCAGUAGUGAUGGUGAUAUAGACUUGGAUGCUUUUCAGUAUAAAUCUUCACAGUUACUGUGGUGAGUUCACUCAUGUUACCAGCAAUAUCCAGAAUUUGGCAAAUAUCUGAUACAGGCCAGACACUUGAGUAGGCACAGUGUGAUGCUGCACUCCACAAUGCUGCUGGUGCAUUGUGCAAUCCUACGUUCCAGGCCAGUGGUGUUUGACCUCCUUCAUGCUGAGACCUCUUGCUCCUGCCCUUCUGUAUCACAUGCAUCCUGUCUGUAAGACUUGGCUCUGCUUCAGAACAGCUCAGAACUUGGCUUCUUCAAACCCUCCAUUUCUUAUGAUGUAUUGUAUCUGUUUGCUUUUAAUAUAUGCCUAGACUUCAAAAAAUUUAUGUCCUAUGAGAUUUCAAAUUAUGUAUUAGCUAUAUAUGGCUAAUCCCCUCAAAGAUUUCUUCCAGUGCUACUUGUGAAGAAGUCACGGAGAAACAAAACCUCUGCUAGUCCCAGACAAGUAGGAACUGCAAGCUUUGUUUGAAGGCAAGUCUCCUACUAAAUUCAUGUAAGGAUGGUAGACAAUGUAUCAAGAACUCUUCCUGAAUAUACAAGAAUAUAUGGGUAACCAGUGGUAAUUACUGCAUUUGCCUUCAUUGUGGUGAUAAUUUUUUACAUAAUUACAUUUUUUACAUGGACCAAAACUCAUCUUGUUUUUGCACUGUGGUUUUUACCUCCACUGUACAGAGCCAGAUUUAUCAGCCUUUUAUAUACCAUUUGCAGUGAAAAAAACUUCUACACAAAAUGUAUGAACUCAGCACUUUAUUUGAUGAGUGCAAGCCCACAAUUACUCCAGAUUAACUUUCUGAAAGAACUGAAUUCAUAAAUAACAAGUUAGUAGUAAUUCAUUUAGAACAUAAGUGACUUAGAGCUCAGGUCCAUCUUGAAUCAAAUCCAUCCCAGAUUUGUUUUUA